UCCCCAUGUCGUAAAGUGGGUACCAUGGGCACUUUCGCCCCUCAUGUGCAACAUAGCAUUGUCGCCAGCGCCAGGUUGCAACCGGAAAUCGAUAGUUUCCUGUUCUGGAACGAAGGAGACUUAGUCGAAGCAAGCAAGGCAAUGAUAACAAAUAGUUUUCCAUCAGAAGGUUAUCUUUAAAUUAACUACAGCCUGUGCCUUUUGAGGAUCCAUUUAGAGAAGUUAACCACCGCUGAUUAAGUUGAUCUGUUAGAACAUUUUAACCAAGAUAUAAAUACAUUUGCAAUUUAUUGUAGCCUGAUUAAGCCAAUAACAGGAAUAGCUCGUAUUGUCUAGGAUGCCCUUAAUGACCAUUUAAAAGCUUGUGCAGACGGUAUCAUCUUCUAAUAACAAAUAUAGGCAAUUUUAGAAUGCUUGGAUAAGAUUAUUUUAUUCCAAAACUUGAUCAUUCUUGCUUUAAUGGUAAUUUCAAUUGGGUACCGCUCAAAUUCUGCAUACAGCAUAUGCCUAGGGGUACUGCUCCUUCAGUUUCCUACUUUACGUAAGAAAUUAUAAUGGACAUUUUAUUUUCCAUCAUGUCUAGAUUACUAUAGCCCCACACUUCGCAUCCGUAAAUUAGUAUUAUAUGGAUUAGAUGGUGUGAUCCAACAGUUUUAACUGAAAAUCCACUAGAAGAUCAAGGUUAUUUAUUCUUUAAAAAGUGCAAACAUUGCCUUAUUGCUUGUGAAAUAUUAUGAAAACGGGAUAUGCAAAAGCAAGAACCUAUCAACGUCUGGAUCCAAGGCUAAUCUCUGUCAAACCUAUUGUGAAAUCUGGGUAAAUAAGAACAUAUGUACAUAAGCACAGAAUACAACAAAGCAAAAAAGUUGUUUUGAUUAAGUCUCCUCAUGACAGAUAAGGAAAUGUUUAAUAUGCCCCCGCUUUCUGGUACAAUUUAAGAAGAACUUAAUUAUACAUUGAAUGGAUUCACUAGCGAAUAUAACAACCCUUUGUCCAAGUAAUGAAUAAAAAUAUAUAACCUGAUUAAAAAUGUGCAAAACACUUUUGAAUAGUUCAGUUAAGUGUAUAUAUCGAUACAAAAGCUGUGAACUGUAAAUAUUUUUUGCAAUGUAAUAAUUGUAACUUGAAGUUAUUAAAACAUUAAAUCUGAAAGGCCUUUUAAAUCCCGAAACGUAAACGUUAAGAUAUAGAUCGGUUUUGCUUUUUUAAAUACCUUUUCAACAAUGAGUUCUGCUUGAAAGAAGUAUAAUAAAAACAAACAAGGUUUAAUUUGUUUGCCAACGAUAAUUAUAUACACCUCCGUUGUAACAAAGCACAAUGUAAGCAAGCAUGCGCAAUGUUACUGAGCAUGCGCACUUUAAUUCCACUUUAGAAGGUAGUAAAAAGUCUGGUGACGUUAAAAUUGUGCCCUAUGCAAUUUUCAUUAUAGGAAUUGCUUGUUGUAAAUAUAAACAGUUUAUUACUUCAUUAUAUAGAUAUUCACUUGCAAUGAAUUACACAUGUUGUGUUAAAAAAUUAACAGUAUUUCACUGGAUAAAGGAGGAAGUUAAAAUAAUCAUAUGUGAAAGAAGAGGAAGAUAAAAUACUUAUAUAUUAUAGUUGAGGAAGUUAAAAGACUUAUAUAUUUCAUGCAAUUCGAUUGUGAAACAAGUUCUACAACUUAUACUAAUCACUAUCGACAACUCAUUCCUGAUGGAAUCCUUCGCCAUGAGGGUAUGAGAGAAGAGAAGCCAGUUUCCCUUUUAAUACUGAGCGUCAAGCAAAGGAGCUACUGGUACCAUUAUUCACGUCUUUGGUAUGACGCGGCCGAGAAUCUAACACCUUCGCGCACUCGAAGCGGACGCUCUACCACUAGGCCAUCGAGGCAGUUAAAUUAACUUCUCAAGAGCAACAACCUCUGUACAAUAAAUACAUUUCCGUCUCUCUCUAGAAGUUGUAUUGAGCAUACGGUGCAAUGAAAAAUAUUUUGAUGAUUUAAUGGGUUUAAUCAUAUUUUUCAACUGCAUUUUAUAUACAUACGGUGUUAAGGAGGUAGGAUACCUUGUUACAAGGGUAAAUUCAAAUUAGUUGAACCGCAGCAUGUUUUUGUAUUUCGUGUAAUAUGAAGUUUUAACUGCUACAAUCUCAAUUUCGUUUGUCUCUGUCCCUUCAAGUUCAAUUUUUAUCCAGGUUUGAAGAACAUGACCCUCCAAAGGUAUUUCAUAUUGAAAGAAGAAGGAAAAUACGGAUAUUAAACACUUUUCAGUGUAUUUUAGUUUCAUUGAUAUCCGUAGAAGUCUGCAUAAUUGAUAAUUCUACUGGUAUGCACGUUAUCUUUCUAAUAUAAGCUUAAAAUGUAUAUGUCGCGGGGCUCGUGUUUCCAUGGUAACGCAUUUUCUCUCAUUUUUAAACAACUAUGUAUAAAAAUAGGGGUUUUCGACGGCUUCAGUGCCAUUCUGUUAAUGACCAACAUGAAAUAUUUGGGUAAUAUUAUUAGCAAAAUACCAAGCACUUUAUAUGGUACCCUAUUUUUCUUAAAUUUUAAAGUAACCAUGGCAACAGAGAUGUUUAAAAUAGCUUAUAUCUUGCUGUUUAUCGUAAUUUCUUUAAAAAAAUAUUGAAUAAGAUUAUCUUUCUGGUUGAUGUAGCUUUAAAACAUAUUAUUUCUAACGUAGGUUACAUUUUCGUGCUAUUUGCAUUUAUUCAAACAAAUUUCAUAGCUUAGAAUACGUACAGCAGUACCCCUCGUCUGCCAUUUUUCAUGGAAAAAUCGUUCAGCGUGCUGCUAUUAUUCUCAUGGAUAUUGUUGAAAUGAAAAUAAAAAGCCGAAGCUGUGUUUCUGAAAUAGACCAGUGUCAACGCUUUUGAAUUUUACAUUUAGAUACAUAGGUCACGGGCUUCGUUUCCAUGGUAACAUCAAUUCAAUUUAAGAAACCACAAUUUUCUACUGAAAUUUGAACAAUUUUAGAUCUUAGUUUUAGUAUGUAAGUAACAAAUUAUCAAUGGAACCUGAAAAAUAGGUAUUACAAAUCAAACUGCUAGACUUUUUAUUUGAAAAUGGCCGUAACAAGUAACCUUUUACCCAACUAUAUUCCAAAUAACAUUGGUUGCCAUCAUCCAUUUUCUUACAUUCCGCAUAACAUUUCAAUAUAACUACAUAAAAGAAGCAAAAUUUUGAUUAUUAUUCAGAGCAAAAGACUCAUAAAAAUAUUUCAGCAAAUAAUGGUUAUUUGAAAAUAGUUAAAAUAAAGAAAAUGUACAGAAUUACGUACUUUCAAGAUAAAAGCUAUUAAUUUUGCGCGGUAACUGACACGUAACGUCAUGACGUCAAUGACGUCAUUUUAAGGCAACAAUGUUUUGAAGCGUUUCUGCGGCAGUUUAUUCAUUAUUUCUGCAUUAUUAAACCAUAAAGCAUCAGAUCGAAGACAAGUUCAUGAUUUGUUUUCAGAAGAAUGAAUAUACAAACACAUUUAGUUUGUCGUAAACGUUGUCGUAAAUCGUCACGUUAGCUUCCGGUUGGACAUGCGCACAUACAAAUAUGAAGGUAACCUACCUCCUUAAGCUCACAUUAACAGUGUUGCUGGAUUCCUUACCCGAAUCCUACCAGUAUUAACAUACAUGUAUAGCAGCUACUGUACAUGUAAUUCUUAUAUUCUCUGGAAGUGACUGAAAGAAGUUUCCCGCAUGAAUCAGAGGUGGACGACGAGUGAGCUUAAACGUGAUACAUAAAUCACCAUGUAGAGAAUAUGUCUCGACCAGAAUGAUUUUAAGUACAUUGUUUAUUCCUGUUGAGCUAAGUAGAUGAUAGAGAUGUAUUGUAAUGAGGAAAACUUCCUGAUUUUAAGUAUUUUGUUUUUUCCUGUUGAGCUAAGUAGAUGAUAGAGAUGUAUUGUAAUAAGGAAAACUUCCUGAUUUUAAGUAUUUUGUUUUUUCCUGCUGAGCUAAUAAUAGAUUACAAGUAGAUGCAAGAGAUGAACUGUAACAAUGAAACAUAUCUUCCUUUUUUUCAGUUUAUUUAAAACGACAAUGGCAUUCUUUCUUUUCUUACAUGUUCUCUUACGUAAGCGUGAAAGAAAAGAAUAGGCUUGUACGCCUUUAAAUAAGUAAGACAGGGUUUAUGUGGCGUUAACACAAAAUGCAUGGAAUUGAAAUAAUUGAGAGUUAGUUAAUGAAUCUCAAACGUUGAGCAAAGAAUGUUUCUUAUCACAGUACCGCAUACCUGCAGGAAUUAAUCCCUCCAAAGUGGCAAUUUCAUAUGCAGCAUGUAUAAGUUAUUUUAGAACGAAAAGCUGCUGUGUACCACUUUUUUGCAACUGCCAUUGGAGUCAUUUCUGUAAACCGCAAAUCUCUAUUUACUCGGUAAUCAGGCUCCAGUUGAAUACCCUUUUUCACAGAGUCGUUUGGAUAUAAAAACGAGACA